CCCAGAUUCCACUGAGAAAGGGGACACAGUAAAAAGCAGGGGUGAAGGAAAACAAACAGGAUGAUUCAAUUCAGCCUAAGGAGAGGUCUUCCUUCCUAAGUGGUAUCACUACAUUUGCAUGGUGCAAAAACUCUCCGAGCAAGAUUCCUCUUCCAUUGGAUGGGUCGUGGGAGACACACA